AUUGAACGCUGGCGGCAUGCUUUACACAUGCAAGUCGAACGGUAACAGGUUAAGCUGACGAGUGGCGAACGGGUGAGUAAUGCAUCGGAACGUGCCCGAUCGUGGGGGAUAACGCAGCGAAAGCUGCGCUGAUACCGCAUACGAUCUGAGGAUGAAAGCGGGGGACCGUAAGGCCUCGCGCGAUCGGAGCGGCCGAUGUCAGAUUAGGUAGUUGGUGGGGUAAAGGCUCACCAAGCCAACGAUCUGUAGCUGGUCGGAGAGGACGAACAGCCAGACUGGGAGUGAGACACGGCCCAGACUCCUACGGGAGGCAGCAGUGGGGAAUUUUGGACAAUGGGCGAAAGCCUGAUCCAGCAAUGCGGCGUGCAGGAAGAAGGCCUUCGGGUUGUAAACUGCUUUUGUACGGAGCGAAAAGGCUCUCUCUAAUACAGGGGGCUCAUGACGGUACCGUAAGAAUAAGCACCGGCUAACUACGUGCCAGCCGCCGCCGUAA
rnacentral:rRNA from 1 species